GACGUAGGGCGCAAGCGUUGUCCGGAUUUAUUGGGCGUAAAGAGCUCGUAGGCGGUUUGUCGCGUCUGCUGUGAAAACCCGAGGCUCAACCUCGGGCCUGCAGUGGGUACGGGCAGACUAGAGUGCGGUAGGGGAGAUUGGAAUUCCUGGUGUAGCGGUGGAAUGCGCAGAUAUCGGGAGGAACACCAAUGGCGAAGGCAGAUCUCUGGGCCGUAACUGACGCUGAGGAGCGAAAGCAUGGGGAGCGAACAGG
rnacentral:rRNA from 1 species